rnacentral:lncRNA from 14 species
UCCCAGUUCAAACCAGUUCAGACCAGUUCAGACCAGUCCAGACCAGUUCAGACCAGUUCAAACCAGUCCAGACCAGUUCAGACCAGUUCAGACCAGUCCAAACCAGAUCCAGCAGAAGUUUGGGAUAAUAAAUGGGAGGAGAAAAAUCCCCAAAAUCUCCAAAAUUUGUGAAAAAUUCCUUUAUUUUCUCAUUGAUACUGGAUCAAACUGGGAGCCAUUCCCAGUCCAGACCGGUCCAGACCAGUUCAGACCAGUCCAAACCAGUCCAAACCAGUUCAGACCAGUUCAAACCGGAGCCAGCAGAAGUUUGGGAUAAUAAAUGGGAGGAGAAAAACCCCAAAAAUCCCCCAAAUCCAGGAAAAAAAUUCCUUUAUUUUCUUGUUGUUUCUUGGAGUCAUUCCCAGUCCAAACCAGUCCAAACCAGUCCAAACCAGUCCAGACCAGUUCAGACCAGUUCAAACUGGAGGCAGCAGAAGUUUGGGAUAAUAAAUGGGAGGAGAAAAAUCCCCAAAAUCUCCAAAAUUUGUGAAAAAUUCCUUUAUUUUCUCAUUGAUAUUGGAUCAGACUGGGAGCCAUUCCCAGUCCAGACCAGUGCAGACCAGUUCAGACCAGUCCAGACCAGUUCAAAUCAGAGCCCAAUCCCAAAAAUCACUGAAGUCCAGGGUCAAACUCGGAUUUAUUGGAUCCAACUGGGAACCUCUCAGUCCAAACCAGUCCAAACCAGUCCAAACCAGUCCAAACCAGUCCAAACCAGUUCAGACCAGUCCAAACCAGUCCAGACCAGUCCAGACCAGUCCAAACCGGUUCAAACCAGUUCAGACCGGUUCAGACCGGUUCCCUCCAGCCUUUCCUCCUCUCCAGCCUCAGCUCGCGGAUUUUGCCCCGGGCUCCGUCCAGCUCCAGCUCCCCGAGGCCGCAUCCUGCCGGAAUUCCGGCAAUUUGGGGCCAUUUGGGGCAAUUUGGGGGAAUUCCAACAAUCCCCAGGGGAUCCUGAUCAUGUCAUCGUCGGUUUCCCAAAAUUUCAU